CCAGACUCCUACGGGAGGCAGCAGUGGGGAAUAUUGCACAAUGGGGGAAACCCUGAUGCAGCGACGCCGCGUGAGUGAAGAAGUAUUUCGGUAUGUAAAGCUCUAUCAGCAGGGAAGAAAAUGACGGUACCUGAUUAAGAAGCCCCGGCUAACUACGUGCCAGCAGCCGCGGUAAUACGUAGGGGGCAAGCGUUAUCCGGAUUUACUGGGUGUAAAGGGAGCGUAGACGGCAGCGCAAGUCUGAAGUGAAAUGCCGGGGCUUAACCCCGGAACUGCUUUGGAAACUGUGCAGCUAGAGUGCGGGAGGGGCAGGUGGAAUUCCUGGUGUAGCGGUGAAAUGCGUAGAUAUCAGGAGGAACACCGGCGGCGAAGGCGGCCUGCUGGACCGCGACUGACGUUGAGGCUCGAAAGCGUGGGGAGCGAACAGGAUUAGAUACCCGCGUACA
rnacentral:rRNA from 1 species